AACAAGGCGCCAAUUUCCGAUGUUUCCCCAAAUCCUAAUCCCCUCUCUCCCCCCCAAAUCCCUAAACGACCAAUCAUCCUCACAAGAUUCUGCAUCAUCGGGAUUCCGAUCAGGAGCUUGAACGAGGAGUUUCGAGAUCCCCUCUGUUCUCAAUCGAGCAAGAUUGAUAGAGGCGUCGCCAUUGAUCGGGAUGAUGACAUCGAAGAGUUCUCUGCUCCAGGAGAUUUUUUCUCGGCGGGAAUGCUUUUGUUGCCGCUGCAUCAGCAACAAAUUUAGCCAUCCGAAGUGAGAGUUUACCACAACAGCACGCUUUCUCAGCAAAGAGCCACACUUGACGCAGUGGCUUGUGAACAAGCAUGGUGUAAUAUUGAAGGCGACAACGGCGGCUUAUGGUUCUGGGACUGAAAGAAUGGUCAUAAUUUUAACAGGCAAAAACUAUUGUACAGCCUGGAACAAAUUUGGCAGUGGAGGGGGGGGAUUCUAAAACUGAAGACUUUUAGCAGCAAAAGAGGGCAACCAAAAUCAAAAGUUUCCAAAGAGCCUAGAGAUCGCACACCCUUCCAAAGGCGGGUUAAAUCUUCAAACGAGAUCUGCAGCUCCAGACGAUUCUGGCAAAAGGCAUGUAUCAGCAGCUGAAAGUGCUCUGCAGUUCAUUGGUUCACAUCUCCAAAAGUAACGAAGGUCUUGUUCCUGUUUCCACAAUUGAAAAUUAUGUCUUACGAACCAGUGAUUGAUAUUUUAUCAAAAAGAUUUACCUUGUGUUUGUAAGCAUAUCUUUCUUUUGAUGUUUGACUUUGCUGAGUGUGUUUGUAUGAAAAUUUUAAGUCAAAGUAAAUACCAACCAAUACAAUAUUUGUAUA